GAUGAACGCUGGCGACGUGCCUAAUACAUGCAAGUCGAGCGAACAGACGAGGAGCUUGCUCCUCUGACGUUAGCGGCGGACGGGUGAGUAACACGUGGAUAACCUACCUAUAAGACUGGGAUAACUUCGGGAAACCGGAGCUAAUACCGGAUAAUAUAUUGAACCGCAUGGUUCAAUAGUGAAAGACGGUUUUGCUGUCACUUAUAGAUGGAUCCGCGCCGCAUUAGCUAGUUGGUAAGGUAACGGCUUACCAAGGCGACGAUGCGUAGCCGACCUGAGAGGGUGAUCGGCCACACUGGAACUGAGACACGGUCCAGACUCCUACGGGAGGCAGCAGUAGGGAAUCUUCCGCAAUGGGCGAAAGCCUGACGGAGCAACGCCGCGUGAGUGGUGAAGGUCUUCGGAUCGUAAAACUCUGUUAUUAGGGAAGAACAAAUGUGUAAGUAACUAUGCACGUCUUGACGGUACCUAAUCAGAAAGCCACGGCUAACUACGUG
rnacentral:rRNA from 1 species